GCUUGUUUGCGGUGACGUAUUGACCAUCCCUCUCAGUGUGUCCUCGAUUGAGGGUUGAAUUAUCUCUCGCUCUCUUAUCUCUCGUUCUCUUAUCUCUCGAACCAGCGGUCGCCGCUUUUCUCUUUCUCAUCGGUAAGCCUUAAUCUAUUUGUCCACCUAUAUCUCUCACCAAUAUUCACGAUCUCCAAUUCGAAAUCGAGAAUCUUAUUUUUCUACUGAUUCAAUUUCUAGGGUUUACUUUUGUUUCCCGUGUCUGUUGACUUUAAUUUCUAGGGUUUCCGUCGCCCUGUCUUUUCCCUCGUUAAUUGUUCGACGAAAAUUUUAGCUCUAUGUCUCAAUAGUCGAGGAUCUGAAAUCUAUUGUUGUUACUGCUUUUCAUUACUUUGAUUCUUGUUCUUAGAUCCGAAAUUGGUCACGAAUAGAUUUUUUUAUAUAUAAAAAAGAGAAUUUUGUGGGUUUAGGGUUUUACAGGCGCGGAAUUAGGGGGUUUGAAUUGGGAUUUAUAUUGGUGACAUUUGAUUUUUUUUGUUGUAACAUAUGGCGGCCGGGAGACAUGGGGGCUAUCGCGAUAACGAGUUACGUGGACGCGAAUCUGAUAAUGAAUAUUCUAGGAGGGAUUUUGCUUAUUCAAAGGAGGAGUAUGAUCGAAUUGGGAAUGGUAAUCGUGAAAAUGAACGGGGUAGAGUUCGUGAUAUAAGAGCUAGGGGUAGGGUUAGGCAGAAGGAUAUAAAGGAGAGAGAAGUGGUUAAUGGUGGGUAUCGGUCCUCUUCUAGUAGGAGUGAUUCAGGCAGUGAUGGUGGUACACGUGGAUCCAGGAGAUAUGAGUUCACUGGCAGGGCCAUGGAUCGAGAGCCAGGUGAAUUGUCUAGUGAGAGUGGGUCCGAUGAUGCAGUCGAGUUUGAAUCACAGGUCAAUAAAGAUACUGAGGUUUCAAAGGCAGUAGAGAAUGGGAUUAAGCCUCUUAUGCAGAAGAAGAGGAAGUUUUCUCCAAUAGUUUGGGAUAGGGAUGACAGAGAAGUGAGUAAUUCUUCGAAGAGUAGGAUAUCUCCAGCGGUGACUACUCUCCCUCCACCACCCCCCCUCCCUAGGGCAUACUCCCACUCACCUAAUAUUAUUCCAGAGGCAGGUGUAGAGAUAUCCCCCACUAAGAGUAGUAAAAACCAGAACUUGAAGUCAUCUUCUCCAGUCGAGGAUCCAGCAGUUAAAGGGCCAGUUGAGUAUUCUGCAUCAGAGUCUCCAGCAGGGUUGGCUGCUGUGCCACUAGAGGAGCAACGGUUGGGUAAGGAUCAUGAAGCUGAACUGAUAGAAGAUGAUGAUUAUGUACCAACACGAAAUAUAUCAUCUUCUAGAUGGGCUGCUGGGAACAAUUCUCCAGUUGAUGAAGGUGAAAUUGUAGAGGAUCAGGAAAUGCCUAAAAGGAGGAAGAAGAUGCCUCUUUUGGAGUCCUCGGAUUUCAGAAGACGCAAUAGUUCAUUGACUCCUGACCUUGGAGAUCUUAAGAGAGAUGGUUCAGAUGGAGUCAGAGGGAGGUCAACUGACUCUGAGGAGCGAGACACUCGAGCUAGGUCUUUGAGUGGGGAUGAUUAUCCUGUUAAUGAUACUGACAAGGAUGAUUACAUGGAGAUUGAUGAUGAACAUGAUGAAAAUGAUGGUAGUGGUGACCAUUCCAAUACAGAUUCUGAGAAUCAAAAUGAUUCUCCUGAAACACCAGAACCUGUAGCUCCUCAAAGAAGUAUAAACAUGCUUCUGGGGUGUAGAAGUGUAGAUGAGUUUGAGAGACUAAAUAAGAUAGAUGAAGGAACUUAUGGAGUUGUAUAUAGAGCUAGAGAUAAGAAGAGUGGGGAAAUUGUAGCUUUGAAGAAGGUAAAAAUGGAGAAGGAACGUGAAGGCUUUCCGUUGACAUCUUUGAGGGAAAUAAACAUUCUUCUAUCUUUUCAUCAUCCAUCAAUUGUUGAUGUGAAAGAAGUUGUGGUAGGGAGUAACCUUGAUAGCAUUUUUAUGGUGAUGGAAUAUAUGGAGCAUGAUCUCAAGGGCCUUAUGGAGUCGAUGAAGCAGCCAUUUAGUCAGAGUGAAGUCAAAUGCUUAAUGCUCCAGUUAUUAGAGGGUGUCAAGUAUCUCCAUGAUAACUGGGUCCUUCAUCGAGAUUUAAAGACGUCAAAUUUGCUUUUGAAUAAUAGGGGUGAGUUGAAGAUCUGUGACUUUGGAUUGGCACGUCAAUAUGGGAGUCCAUUGAAACCAUAUACUCAUUUGGUGGUUACUCUUUGGUACAGGGCACCUGAGCUUCUUUUAGGAGCCAAACAAUAUUCAACUGCAAUCGACAUGUGGUCAUUAGGUUGUAUUAUGGCUGAAUUACUGGCAAAAGAACCACUUUUCAAUGGGAAAACAGAAUUUGAUCAACUUGAUAAGAUUUUCCGCAUACUUGGCACACCAAACGAGACAAUCUGGUCGGGAUUUUCCAAGUUACCUGGUGUGAAGGUCAACUUUGUUAAGCAUCAGUAUAACCUACUGCGUAAGAAAUUCCCAGCAACAUCUUUCACUGGAUCGCCAGUUCUUUCUGAUUCUGGAUUUGAUUUGUUGAACAAACUUCUAACCUAUGACCCUGAGAAGCGAAUAACUGCUGACGAUGCUCUUAACCAUGAGUGGUUUCGUGAAGUUCCUCUUCCGAAGUCUAAGGAUUUUAUGCCUACCUUUCCUGCUCAGCAUGCUCAAGACAGGCGUCUCCGAAGGAUGUUGAAGAGUCCAGAUCCAUUGGAAGAGCAGCGCAGAAAGGAGCUGCAACAAGGAGAAUUAGGCUCUGGUGGUUUGUUUGGCUAAGAGGCCUUCUCUUUUCAUCUCCAUGCUUUAGUUUCCAUAUCACUGAUUUGGGAUGAGGUUGAGGUGAGAGAUAACCAUUGAAAGGCAGUUGCAAACAUUGUUCCUCAGACGGUCAUUCAUACUUUUUUUUAGCAGGCACCUGUCAUGAUUUGGGUGGAGAAAUUAUUUGCCUCCUCCCACCCAGCUAUCUUGCAGGUGGACUUUGAUCUUCAGCUUUCAUCAGCAUAUAGAAAUGCUUCUGUGACACUGAUUGCAUUGCAAGAGACUGUUGGUGUGAAGUGGAGGAGACGUUCUUAGCUUUUCAUUGACGAAGAAAUAGACAGUAGCCAUAGUACACCAAAGUAUCAAAGCAAGCAGGUUCGGGAGGUUACCUGCAAACUGGAUUUUAUAGAACUUUCAAUUAGUUGUUCAGGCUCACUGGAGGUACAAUACAAACCUUGGUUUGUUCUUUAUGUGUCAUUCUUUUCCUCUCUUUUUUGGUCUUUUUGCCCCCUUCAUGGUUAACUUCUAGUGUGUUUGAACUUUUGCAUAUAAUAUGGUGGGGUGGGGAUGGUGCUAACCUUUGAGAUGCAUUUAGCACUCGUAUUAUUGGAAGCAUGCUUCUUAAAUGAAAAACUGAAAAAUCAUCAGGCUUUCAUGUAUGGGAAUGGGAUACUUUAUUGAACAAUUUCUUCAGUAAUUUUUUGAGUUACUGUUCUACUUUAUACAUGGUAUAUGAAUAGUGGCAAAACACAGAGAAACUUGCCAUUUGUGUAUAAUAAUCUGUGAGUGGGGCUCUUGAACUACUAAGGACAUCUUGAAUAAUUUACGGGAAACAAAUAAUUUCAAAUAUGUUUCAUACUGUUGGGUCAAAGAGGUUCUUCGCAACUUUGAAUUUAUUAAUAGAUUUGUAGUUCAUGAGGAAUCCUUCAGUAGUUGAAGUAGCAGGGCCUGUCCAAAAAUAGAACCCAAUGGAAGUAAAUCUUGAUUAUAUAACAUUUAGAUCAUAAUGGGCAGUGUAUAGUAGAUGUAUUUUGGGCAUUCGUUGUCCAUCACUUCAGCAAUGGAAGUUAUAAUAAUUCAAUCCAAAUUUCAUUUUAUCGCCAA